UACGAAGGUCGCAAGCGUUAUCCGGAGUUACUGGGCGUAAAGAGUUCGUAGCUGGUCUAGUGAGUCUGAUUUUAAAGACUCUGUCUCAAGCAGAGGAAGGGGUCAGAUACUGCUAUUCUGGAGAUAACUGGGGGUUAGUGGAAUUGCCGGUGGAGGGGUGAAAUCCGUUGAUAUCGGUAGGAACGCCAAAAGCGAAAGCAACUAACUAUGGUUUUCUGACAGUCAAGAACGAAAGCUCGGGGAUCAAACGGG
rnacentral:rRNA from 1 species